CCUACGGGAGGCAGCAGUAGGGAAUUUUUCACAAUGGGCGAAAGCCUGAUGGAGCAACGCCGCGUGCAGGAUGAAGGCCUUCGGGUUGUAAACUGCUUUUAUAAGCGAGAAAUAUGAUGGUAACUUAUGAAUAAGGAUCGGCUAACUACGUGCCAGCAGCCGCGGUCAUACGUAGGAUCCGAGCAUUAUCCGGAGUGACUGGGUGUAAAGAGUUGCGUAGGUGGCAUAAUAAGUAGCUAGUGAAAUCUGGUGGCUCAACCAUUCAGACUAUUAGCUAAACUGUUAAGCUCGAGAGCGUUAGGGGUAACUGGAAUUUCUAGUGUAGGAGUGAAAUCCGUAGAUAUUAGAAGGAACACCAAUAGCGUAGGCAGGUUACUGGGACGGUUCUGACACUAAGGCACGAAAGCGUAGGGAGCAAACGGGAUUAGAUACCCGGGUAGUC
rnacentral:rRNA from 1 species